rnacentral:rRNA from 1 species
GAUGAACGCUGGCGGCGUGCCUAAUACAUGCAAGUCGAGCGAACAGACGAGGAGCUUGCUCCUUUGACGUUAGCGGCGGACGGGUGAGUAACACGUAGGUAACCUACCUAUAAGACUGGGAUAACUUCGGGAAACCGGAGCUAAUACCGGAUAAUAUAUCGAACCGCAUGGUUCGAUAGUGAAAGAUGGCUUUGCUAUCACUUAUAGAUGGACCUGCGCCGCAUUAGCUAGUUGGUAAGGUAACGGCUUACCAAGGCAACGAUACGUAGCCGACCUGAGAGGGUGAUCGGCCACACUGGAACUGAGACACGGUCCAGACUCCUACGGGAGGCAGCAGUAGGGAAUCUUCCGCAAUGGGCGAAAGCCUGACGGAGCAACGCCGCGUGAGUGAUGAAGGUCUUCGGAUCGUAAAACUCUGUUAUUAGGGAAGAACAAAUGUGUAAGUAACUGUGCACGUCUUGACGGUACCUAAUCAGAAAGCCACGGCUAACUACGUG